rnacentral:lncRNA from 1 species
GGCCGGAGUUCUGCAGCUUUAAUCUGGGUAACUGAGGCUGGUUUGAGCAAGACUUUGGUUAAUUAACUAGGUUCUCAGAUGCCACAGACUCCGUGAAAAGUCACCAUUAUUUUCAAUGGUUGUGAUAGAAUUUCCCUCAGUAGCCAUUAUUUUAAGAUUAUAUUGCAGAGUUGCUUUAUUUGAACUUUUUGUGUAUACACAAUCCCAAACUGGAAGAUUAAAGAAUGUAAACAUUAAUGUUUCCUUAUGGGAAAACAAAUAAAGUAUAAAGAAGACAAUUCUUUUCAUUAAAAUAUACUGUGUAUUUACACUUGCUAGACCCAGCACCACUUAUAAAUUUAGUACACUGUUCAAAAUUUUAGUUAACACAGCUGACAUGGUUGUGCUCUGAAAGCCUAAGAGUAGGUAUUGUUGGAAUAUGAACAGUUUGUGUUUGUCUGCUGUGAAUCAUAAUCUUGAAAUUUCUAAUCAAGUUUGUAAAAUUUUUAUAGUAAAACAUUUUAAUGACAAUUUAAAAAUUUAUCUUCUCUAAAGAAUGGUCAAAACAAUAUCCUUUCAGAAAUAGAAUUGUUCUUUAAUAUCUUUCCAAAAUGACUUUGGUUAAAUGGACCA